AAUCAACGCUGGCGGCGUGCCUCAGACAUGCGAGUCGAACGAUUAAGACUCCCUUCGGGGAGUGCAUAAAGUGGCGCACGGGUGAGUAACACGUAAGUAAUCUACCUUCGAGUGGGGAAUAACGUUCGGAAACGAACGCUAAUACCGCAUAAUGCAGCGGCAUCGCAAGAUGACAGUUGUUAAAGGAAUUUAUUUCGCUUGAAGAGGAGCUUGCGGCAGAUUAGCUAGUUGGUAAGGUAACGGCUUACCAAGGCUACGAUCUGUAUCCGGCCUGAGAGGGCGGUCGGACACACUGACACUGAAUAACGGGUCAGACUCCUACGGGAGGCAGCAGUCGGGAAUUUUGGGCAAUGGGCGAAAGCCUGACCCAGCAACGCCGCGUGAGGGAUGAAGUAUUUCGGUAUGUAAACCUCGAAAGAAUAGGAAGAAUAAAUGACGGUACUAUUUAUAAGCUCCGGCUAACUACGUGCCAGCAGCCGCCGUAAAAC
rnacentral:rRNA from 1 species